rnacentral:lncRNA from 1 species
AGAACAAAAGGAAAAAAGCAUAGAACAAACCCUAGAGAAGAAAAAUCAAGACAAAAUUCAUUGGAUUUCAAGGAAUUUAGCAAGUAAAGGUAAAAUUUCUUAAUUCUAGCUUGUGAUCUACCUUUCAUAUGCAUUCUUUUCAAUUACCAUGGUUAAAAUUCAAGAUCUCAUGAAGGAUUCAUGGCUGACCGAAUUUAGGGAGAGAAGAUUUGGUGAUUUAUUUGGUUAGAUUUCAAGGUAUCUUAGUGUUUUUAGUUGUUUGGUGAUGUUUAGCAUGAAAAACAAGCGCAAGAAAUUUCAUGCCCUUCACCCACAUUCCUUGGCUGAAAUUUUCAAGAGAGAAAUUGGAUAAUGGACUUUGAUCAAUUUCAUGCUAUUUAGGUGUUUUUAGUUGUUUUAUGAUGUAAGGUGAAAAAAUCAAGCAUGAAAAAUACAUGUUCUACACUAAACCUUCAAUGGUCGAUUUUUAUAGGGAAGAUAUUAAUGAUGGAUUUUUGUGAUAUUACAUAUUAUUUAACUUGUAAUUGAUGACUUGGAGUGUUGGAAGUGGAAUCAAGUUAAUUGGAGUUGAAUUGGAUGUAUUGGCCAAUUAAUCGGUGAAUAGAUCAAAUUAGGCCAAUACCAUUUUAUUUCGAUACAUAAUUGAAGCUACGUAGAACACCAUAUUUAGAUAAUAUUUCAAACAUUUUGCAUCCCAUUUCAUGUAUUCAUAUAGAGCCUAAUUUAGUUUUAUAACGGUUUUGUACAAAUAUAGUAAAUUGCUUGUUGUGCAUUAUGUUUAGGUGGUGAAACUUCCGAUAAGGGUAAGGAGAUUGUACCCGAAGAUCGGGACUAGGAGUACUUCGACUCCCGAUAUUGUGAGUAACCUUAUUAUCGUCUUAAUUAUCUAAAGUAGUUUUUAUUCGUUUUUGUGAUUUUAUAGAAAAAUGAGUUUAAAUGGUAAAUCCUUAUGUUUUAUAAGUAAAAUGUGAUUAAAUGAAAUGAGUUUUAUAAAUCAUUUUGAAAUUGAAUGAUGAUUUUAGAAAUUGAGUAAUUGGAGACUGUUUGAUUGUGUUGUAAAUUUAUGGUUUGAAUUGAAUGGCUUAUGGUGAUAUUGGCAUGAAUGGCUGAAUUGGAAAUUGUGUUGAAAUUGUAUGAACUGUUUGUUUUGCCUUAACAGGCUGGGUAGUAAUAUAAUUGCCAUGUUAUGCUGUCGAAACUUUUAUUGAUUUGGUGGGAUAUUGAUUAGUCACUACAAUGGUGGGUUUGCAUGGACCAACCUAUUAGAGAGGGGCAUGGUAAACCCGAUUAUAUUUUAUCUCGAUACGAGAGGCGCGGAGGGUAUCUCUUGAGGUAAAGCUUUAGAGUUCACUAUAUGCUAAACCACCGUGUGAGGGUGAACUCAGCCAACGCCAAGGAACGACUAUGCUUUUAAACAUAAAAAUGUGUUUUAUGCGUAUAUGAACUUUUGUUUAACAGCCUUAAAGGACUCGGUUGGAUGCCUCGACCAAGGUAUCCUCGAGAAUAAGUUUUGGCACGAGCGAAAUUUUUCAGAAAUUCAUAAGCCAUGUUGAUUAUUUGAGUGAAAUGAAAUUAUUUUAUUUAGUUGAAAUGAGUUUGAAACAUUAUGAAUCAUAGUACGAUGAACUAUUUUAAGUUGUCUCCAUUUACUCGACUUUAGAUAUUUUAGAUGAUGUUUGUUUACUCACUGAGUUUAUAUAAACUCACCACCCUCUUUUCCACUUAUUCCAGGAUCAGGACAGUUCGUAAAUAGCAGAUUACGUCGAGGGUUAUUAGUGGACUCGCCUCUUCAGAAAUUGUAGGUCCACAGCUUUUGUUACCUUUGGUCAAUCGGGGGCCCACACAUCAUUGUAAAUUAAAUUACAUACUCUGGUUAUCUGUGUUACUAUAUAUAUGGAUUUAUUUUGCUUUU